UACAUUAAGUACAAUAGGUUACUGCUUACCUUUGUUGCGGUGGGAUCCCAGACUCAGACAACCCGGAUCCUGCUCUGGAUACUCUCCGUUGCCGUUCUUAGUGGAUCACGUCGUGGGUCACCAAUUGAAGUUUUAAAAUAUUAUUUGGUAUUAUUUUUGUU